rnacentral:lncRNA from 1 species
AUGGUAAGAUGCCAGCUUCCUCUGCACAGUGAACAGCAACACUCAGGAAGCAGUAAACAGUCCUGGCUGCCUGACAGUAACCUGAGGCUCCAUCCUGCAGAACAGAAAAUGAAAGGCAAGGACAAACUCAAAGGGAGUGCAAGGCAUACACCAGGGAACAGGACCGUGUUUGCUGGGUGGCAGCUGCAUACAACUUGGACCAGUAAUGGCUCAGGCUCCUGUCUGGUGGCCAAGAGGGAGGAGGAGACCUGGCAAGUGCUCUCUGUACACCGUCACUGGCUUGGGAUCACUGCUCCACUGGUGUCCCAGAAUUCAGACUUCUGGCAUCUGCACAAACACCUCAUCUCCUGCGCCCGCCACGAAGGCAGCUCUGUGAGGAAGGUUAUCGUGCUUUCUGUCCUUAUCAUAGGAGCCUCCCUGUCUAUGCUCUGCCCGAAGACACAACAUGUCCUCCCUAGAUGUUUGACUUGGGGAGGGACGAGGAAAAGAGAGAACACUGAUUUCCAGAAGCCAUGUUGCCUUCUAGUCACAAGAGAUUCAGCAUCAAUAUGA